rnacentral:lncRNA from 1 species
UCAAGCCCGCCCACUCCUUUCCCCUCAUGUCCGCCUUCUCUUUGCGGCCCCCUCCAGAUCGAGGGCGGCAUAGGGUUCUGAUACCUUCGCCGGUCUUCCCCCAAGCAAGAAAAUUUCUGAUCUCAACCCAUCUUUUUCUUGAUCUCAACCCAUCUCUUUCUUGUUUCUUUGCCUUGAGCUAUUAUACGAAUUCCUGUUGUUUCUUGGCAAGAUCCAACGAUUGAUCGGGUAAAAGGGGCUGCUAGGCAACGAUUCAAGAAAAGGUUUGAUCCUAAGCCUCUCCCUCCUUGUGUCUUUUCUUGCAGGCUUUUGAGAUCAAGUUGUUGUGUUUCUUGGCUAGAUUAGACGAUUUCUUGGCUGUCUUUUUUU